rnacentral:piRNA from 1 species
UAAUGUGUACUCAUGGUCCCUUGAAC